rnacentral:ncRNA from 1 species
UUUGCUAGGGGAGCUUUAGCUGAGAUGGAUAUUUUAUAUCUAACCCUCAUUACUUGAACCGGGUAAUUCCGGCGUAAGGAAGCAGUUUUA